rnacentral:rRNA from 1 species
UACGAAGGGGGCGAGCGUUGUUCGGAAUUACUGGGCGUAAAGGGUGCGUAGGCGGUCGGGUAAGUCUGACGUGAAAUCUUCAAGCUCAACUUGGAAACUGCGUCCGAUACUAUUCGGCUAGAGGAAUGGAGGGGAGACUGGAAUACUUGGUGUAGCAGUGAAAUGCGUAGAUAUCAAGUGGAACACCAGUGGCGAAGGCGAGUCUCUGGACAUUUCCUGACGCUGAGGCACGAAAGCCAGGGGAGCAAACGGG